rnacentral:rRNA from 1 species
GCGGUAAGUACGGAGGGGGUUAGCGUUGUUCGGAAUUACUGGGCGUAAAGCGUACGUAGGCGGAUUAGUAAGUUAGAGGUGAAAUCCCAGGGCUCAACCCUGGAACUGCCUUAAUACUGCUAGUCUAGAGUUCGAGAGAGGUGAGUGGAAUUCCAAGUGUAGAGGUGAAAUUCGUAGAUAUUUGGAGGAACACCAGUGGCGAAGGCGGCUCACUGGCUCGAUACUGACGCUGAGGUACGAAAGUGUGGGGAGCAAACAGGAUUAGAUACCCUGGUAGUCCACACCGUAAACGAUGAAUGCCAGUCGUCGGGUAGUAUACUAUUCGGUGACACACCUAACGGAGUAAGCAUUCCGCCUGGGGAGUACGGUCGCAAGACUAAAACUCAAAGGAAUUGACGGGGGCCCGCACAAGCGGUGGAUUAUGUGGUUUAAUUCGAAGCAACGCGCAGAACCUUACCUAGGCUUGAAAUCCUUCGAAUCCCGAGUAAUUUUGGGAGUGCCCGCAAGGGAAUGAAGUGACAGGUGCUGCAUGGCU